GCUGGGGCAAAUCAGAAAAUCAAACAACAUCGAUCCGGCGAGUCUUCAGGAUUGUGAAUGAUCAUUGUUCAAUUUUUAAAAAGAUCUUGAACAAAACCAAGGGAUGCUGUUAAUUUCACAGUAAUGUUUGUUCGUGUUGAAAAUAC